rnacentral:rRNA from 1 species
ACUCCUACGGGAGGCAGCAGUGAGGAAUAUUGGUCAAUGGACGCAAGUCUGAACCAGCCAUGUCGCGUGCAGGAAGACUGCCCCUAUGGGUUGUAAACUGCUUUUAUACGGGAAGAAAUAUAGCUACGUGUAGUUAUUUGCCGGUACCGUAUGAAUAAGCAUCGGCUAACUCCGUGCCAGCAGCCGCGGUAAUACGGAGGAUGCGAGCGUUAUCCGGAUUCAUUGGGUUUAAAGGGUGCGUAGGCGGAAGUAUAAGUCAGGGGUGAAAGUUUGUGGCUCAACCAUAAAAAUUGCCUUUGAUACUGUAUUUCUUGAGUACAUUUGAGGUAGGCGGAAUGUGUUGUGUAGCGGUGAAAUGCUUAGAUAUAACACAGAACACCGAUUGCGAAGGCAGCUUACUAAACUGUAACUGACGCUGAUGCACGAAAGCGUGGGGAUCGAACAGGAUUAGAUACCCUGGUAGCACAGAG